rfam:Pseudomonas sp. GM78 PMI35_contig163.163, whole genome shotgun sequence.
UUUGAUGGUGGCUGUGCGUAGGGCGUCCCUGGGCGCGCCGGCUUUCUUCUUUUCCCCGGUCUACUAACCUGCGUACAGCCGCCACCCCA